rnacentral:rRNA from 1 species
CCUUAGAGUUUGAUCCUGGCUCAGGACGAACGCUGGCGGCGCGCCUAACACAUGCAAGUCGAACGAGCGAGAGAGAGCUUGCUUUCUUGAGCGAGUGGCGAGCGGGUGAGUAACGCGUGAGGAACCUGCCUCAAAGAGGGGGACAACAGUUGGAAACGACUGCUAAUACCGCAUAAGCCCACGGCUCGGCAUCGAGCAGAGGGAAAAGGAGCAAUCCGCUUUGAGAUGGCCUCGCGUCCGAUUAGCUAGUUGGUGAGGUAACGGCCCACCAAGGCGACGAUCGGUAGCCGGACUGAGAGGUUGAACGGCCACAUUGGGACUGAGACACGGCCCAGACUCCUACGGGAGGCAGCAGUGGGGAAUAUUGCACAAUGGGGGAAACCCUGAUGCAGCGACGCCGCGUGGAGGAAGAAGGUCUUCGGAUUGUAAACUCCUGUUGUUGAGGAAGAUAAUGACGGUACUCAACAAGGAAGUGACGGCUAACUACGUGCCAGCAGCCGCGGUAAAACGUAGGUCACAAGCGUUGUCCGGAAUUACUGGGUGUAAAGGGAGCGCAGGCGGGAAGAUAAGUUGGAAGUGAAAUCUAUGGGCUCAACCCAUAAACUGCUUUCAAAACUGUUUUUCUUGAGUAGUGCAGAGGUAGGCGGAAUUCCCGGUGUAGCGGUGGAAUGCGUAGAUAUCGGGAGGAACACCAGUGGCGAAGGCGGCCUACUGGGCACCAACUGACGCUGAGGCUCGAAAGUGUGGGUAGCAAACAGGAUUAGAUACCCUGGUAGUCCACACCGUAAACGAUGAUUACUAGGUGUUGGAGGAUUGACCCCUUCAGUGCCGCAGUUAACACAAUAAGUAAUCCACCUGGGGAGUACGACCGCAAGGUUGAAACUCAAAGGAAUUGACGGGGGCCCGCACAAGCAGUGGAGUAUGUGGUUUAAUUCGACGCAACGCGAAGAACCUUACCAAGUCUUGACAUCCUCUGACGAACGUAGAAAUACGUUUUCUCUUCGGAGCAGAGAGACAGGUGGUGCAUGGUUGUCGUCAGCUCGUGUCGUGAGAUGUUGGGUUAAGUCCCGCAAUGAGCGCAACCCUUAUGGUCAGUUACUACGCAAGAGGACUCUGGCCAGACUGCCGUUGACAAAACGGAGGAAGGUGGGGAUGACGUCAAAUCAUCAUGCCCUUUAUGACUUGGGCUACACACGUACUACAAUGGCGUUAAACAAAGAGAAGCAAGACCGCGAGGUGGAGCAAAACUCAGAAACAACGUCCCAGUUCGGACUGCAGGCUGCAACUCGCCUGCACGAAGUCGGAAUUGCUAGUAAUCGCAGAUCAGCAUGCUGCGGUGAAUACGUUCCCGAGCCUUGCACACACCGCCCGUCA